UACGUAGGGUGCAAGCGUUAAUCGGAAUUACUGGGCGUAAAGCGUGCGCAGGCGGUUUUGUAAGUCUGUCGUGAAAGCCCCGGGCUCAACCUGGGAAUGGCGAUGGAGACUGCAAGGCUUGAAUCUGGCAGAGGGGGGUAGAAUUCCACGUGUAGCAGUGAAAUGCGUAGAGAUGUGGAGGAACACCGAUGGCGAAGGCAGCCCCCUGGGUCAAGAUUGACGCUGAUGCACGAAAGCGUGGGGAGCGAACAGG
rnacentral:rRNA from 1 species